rnacentral:rRNA from 1 species
AGGGUUUGAUUCUGGCUCAGGAUGAACGCUAGCUACAGGCCUAACACAUGCAAGUCGAGGGGCAGCAUGAUUGAAGCUUGCUUCAAUUGAUGGCGACCGGCGCACGGGUGAGUAACGCGUAUCCAACCUGCCCUUUACUCGGGGAUAGCCUUUCGAAAGAAAGAUUAAUACCCGAUGGUUUCCUUUGCCUGCAUGGACAGAGGAAUAAAGAUUUAUCGGUAAAGGAUGGGGAUGCGUUCCAUUAGAUAGUAGGCGGGGUAACGGCCCACCUAGUCGACGAUGGAUAGGGGUUCUGAGAGGAAGGUCCCCCACAUUGGAACUGAGACACGGUCCAA